GGAAUCUUCCGCAAUGGGCGCAAGCCUGACGGAGCGACGCCGCUUGGAGGAGGAAGCCCUUCGGGGUGUAAACUCCUGAACCCGGGACGAAAUCCCUGAUGAGGGGGCUGACGGUACCGGGGUAAUAGCGCCGGCCAACUCCGUGCCAGCAGCCGCGGUAAUACGGAGGGCGCGAGCGUUACCCGGAUUUACUGGGCGUAAAGGGCGUGUAGGCGGCUUGGGGCGUCCCAUGUGAAAGGCCACGGCUCAACCGUGGAGGAGCGUGGGAUACGCUCAGGCUAGACGGUGGGAGAGGGUGGUGGAAUUCCCGGAGUAGCGGUGAAAUGCGCAGAUACCGGGAGGAACGCCGAUGGCGAAGGCAGCCACCUGGCUCACUUGUGACGCUGAGGCGCGAAAGCGUGGGGAGCAAACCGGAUUAGAUACCCGGGUAGUCCACGCCCUAAACGAAGCGCGCUAGGUCUCUGGGUUAUCUGGGGCCGAAGCCAACGCGUAAGCGCGCCGCCGGAGAGCUCUAGGA
rnacentral:rRNA from 1 species